CCGUGAUAAUGUAGCAUAAUCACUCGCCAUUUAAUUGGUGGAUAGUAUGAAUGGUUGAACGAAUAUUCCACUGUCUUAGAUAAAAUUACAAUAAAUUGAAAUAAUAGUUAAGAUGCUAUUUAAAACUGUAAGACGAAAAGACCCUAUAGAGCUUAACUAUAAUCUCUAUCUAAAAACAAAAAAAAACUAUUUUUUAAUAAUAGAGACUGGUAGUUUAGUUGGGGCGACUAUCUUCUAAAUAAAACGAAGAUAAGCAAUGUAAUAAAAAACUUAUUGUAUAACAUAAAUGUUUAACAAUUAUAAAAAUAGGCUAUAAUGACCCGUUGAUACUUGGUAAAAAGAACAACGAUCAAUUAAUAAAAGCUACCUUAGGGAUAACAGGAUAAUUUUAUUUUAGAGUUCCAAUCGAAAAUAAA
rnacentral:rRNA from 1 species